AGACGGAGGGGGCUAGCGUUGUUCGGAAUUACUGGGCGUAAAGCGCGCGUAGGCGGUGGUUCAAGUUGGGCGUGAAAGGCCUGGGCUCAACCCGGGAACUGCGCUUGAUACUGGUAGACUUGAGUCCGGGAGAGGGUGGCGGAAUUCCCAGUGUAGAGGUGAAAUUCGUAGAUAUUGGGAAGAACACCAGUGGCGAAGGCGGCCACCUGGCCCGGUACUGACGCUGAGGUGCGAAAGCGUGGGGAGCAAACAGGAUUAGAAACCCCAGUAGUCC
rnacentral:rRNA from 1 species